rnacentral:rRNA from 1 species
UGAAGCUGGAUUCGCUAGUAAUCGNGCCAUCAGCCAUGGCGCGGUGAAUACGUUCCCCGGCCUUGUACACACCGCCCGUCAAGCCAUGGAAGCCGGGAGUGCCUGAAGUAUGCAACCGCAAGGAGCGUCCUAAGGUAAAACCGGUGACUGGGCUAAGUCGUAACAAGGUAAC